rnacentral:lncRNA from 1 species
UGGCAACCUAUUCGACUGAUCGGUUGAGACUCAAGACUCAUGUAGCUAUCACAUGCGCUAGAUGCUCCAACAUCAUACUUCUCUAGGUGAAGAAGACUCGCCAUUGAGGCUAAAUCUUCUUGAUCUUCAUAGUAAGGCAAGAGAUUAGCAAUAUUCUUGUGCUAUAGGUCCACAUUAUCAGUAGUAUUAUCCUUAUUAUGUGUCAAGUGAGGUAUAGCUACUGAUGCUAUGAAAGGGAAGCCAUAAUC